CCGAGGGACAGGAGGAGCCCGGCCCCGGAGCAGAUGCUGAGAAAUCAAGUGGAAUGAGAUGGGGAAAGACCGUCAGAUGCAGCAAGCUGGGGUCAUUUUUAAAAAGGACAGUUUCAGUGGAUAUGGGUGCAGAAAUGAGAUCGCAGACGUUAAGGGAAUCUCCUCAUCUUUGCCACCGGUGGGGUACCCUCCCCACUCAUCCUGAGGUACCUGGGAGCAGACAGACAUGAAACACGCAUCAACUUUGUCACUGAGAACGGCAGCAUCAGCUCCUUUUUGGAAACAAAUCCUCUACAAUUCCAUAAAGAUACACCUCUUUACAGUCAUUUAUCAGUUAAAGUCAGAUGUAUAAAAAUGCAUAUCCUAAAAGGAAAUGAAUAUAAAAAUGUUGGUUUUUCUUCAUUAUAAGUGAUAGGUAAACACUAUGGAUAAAGUGAGAACAUGUGAGAAAAGUAAGAGAAGAAGGGACACUUGCAAUCUCAGCAGCUGGGACAAAGCACUGGCUAAAAUUUAGUUUUAUUUCCCUCUGGUAUAAGAGGAAAUUGAAAGUUGAGAAACUGAACAGAGAAGAAAAGGAAAAAAAAAAAAGAAAACAAGGGAGAAAAUGCCUAUCUUAUUGUAUACUUAUAUCUUAAUUGCAAGCAAAUAAAAGAGGACGGUUUUAAAUCUAGAAGCCAAGUUCUAUCAUACAUGCAAAUUCUCAGUACUCAGAGUUGCAAAAGGAUCUUGCCCAGCCACAUCACAUUCCACCUGACAUAUCACCAAGCACCUGUGCAUGGAAUAUGUCUGCCUGUUACAGAACUCAGCACCCGCUCAUGUUAUAUAUCUGGGUGGUACAGAGCUGAUCACCUGUGCGUGUUAUACGUCUGCCUCGUACAGAGCUGAGCACCCAUGCAUGUUAUAUGUCUGCCUGGUGCAGACCUGAGCAACCAUGAAUACUAUAUAUCUGUGUGGUAUGGAACUCAGCACCCACGCAUGUUAUAUGUCUGCCUGGUGCAGACCUGAGCAACCAUGAAUGUUACAUAUCUGUGUGGUAUGGAACUCAGCACCUGCCUGUGCAUGCAAUAUAUCUGUGUGGUACAGAGCUGACCACCUGUGCUUGUUAUAUGUCUGCCUGGUACAGAGCUGAGCAACUAUGCAUGUUAUGUGUCUGCCUGGUGCAGACUUGAGCAACCAUGAAUGUUAUAUAUCUGUGUGGUAUAGAACUCAGCACCCGUGCGUAUUAUAUAUCCGCAUGGUACCAAACUGAGCAACUGUGCAUGUUAUACAUCUGCCUGGCACAGAGGUGAGCACCUAUGCCUGUUAUAUAUCUGCCAGGCACAGAACUGGGCCCAUGUACUUGCUAUAUAUCUGCCUUGCACAGAGCUGAGAGCCCAUACAUAUAACCCCCCUGUGCUGUGUAUCUGACUGUUCGAGAACUGAACCCACGUGCAUUUUAUAUAUCACCCAUAACGGCCCCACAGGCUGCCUGCUGUGUGUUUGCGUUACGUGUCUCUCUGAGGGGAGGGUAAACCAUGAAGAUGACAGUGCAGGCCAGUAUUCUGUUUCCAUCCACCAUCUGUGAAACUGGAAACCCAACAUAGCCAUGAGCAAAAAGUCAUGGAACUGGAACACAAUGGUUUCCAUUGCGGGAGCUGCUCCCUGCAGGUCAGGACCUGGUUUCUUUUCCCCACGGUUCAUUAGCUUUGAACAGCUCCCCAGAGGCUCUGGGUAAAGUUCACUCCAUAGGUCAAACUCACGUUUACAAAGGCAAAAGAACACAGCAUGCAGUCGCUGAGUGUAGAGAACUCCAAAGCUUUCCACAGCAACUAGCUCAUCACCCACAGUCUGUAGUCAAGGAACUAACAUAGCAUGUUUUUCAUGUAGGAGAAGAGAAUCUCCCCAAAUGCUGUUUACAGAGAAAGAAAAUAAAAAAUUUCCAUAUUUAAAAGGUCUUCAGACAGGGUAUUUUUUUUCCUUGCUGUAAAAUACUUAGCUACUGAGGUAUACUACUUAUAUCAUCAGAAAAGGAACCUGCCAUCUUUCCAGUGUCCAUAUUGCCUGUGAGCCGAUCGACAGCACUACCAGCAGGGAUCUGCGUGGCUGGUGGUGAAGGCAGGUCUUCUGGCUGAAGGCCCCUGUAUUCAUUCCUAAAUGCCAUGCCACACCAGUGCUCCGGCAGAUCUGACAUCUUCCACAUUGCAGCCCAGGACAGGAGCCAAGGGAGAGGGAGAGGCAUGCUCAUUUCUGUCACUCACAUAUCCUGGACUUCCAGCCUGGACGAGCAGGAGCUCCCCUUACCAUGGACCCCGUGUGGCAAGGAGUCCUCAACACCACACAGUCCCGCAGCAACGAGGCGCGGACACCCGGACACUGCACGGUCCCCGCAGUAACGAGGCACGGACACCCCAACACCACACAGUCCCCCAGUAACGAGGCGCGGACACCCCAACACCACACAGUCCCCCAGUAACGAGGCGCGGACACCCCAACACCACACAGCCCCCCAGUAACGAGGCGCGGACACCCCAACACCACACAGCCCCCCAGUAAUGAGGCGCGGACACCCCAAAACCACACAGCCCCCCAGUAACGAGGCACGGACACCCCAACACCACACAGUCCCCCAGCAACGAGGCGCAGACACCCAACACCACACAGUCCCCCAGUAACGAGGCGCAGACACUCCAACACCAGUCCCCCAGUAACGAGGCGCAGACACCCCAACACCACACAGCCCCCCAGUAACGAGGCGCGGACACCCCAACACCACACAGUCCCCCAGCAAUGAGGCGCGGACACCCCAACACCACACAGUCCCCCAGCAACGAGGCGCGGACACCCAACACCACACAGUCCCCCAGUAACGAGGCGCGGACACCCCAAAACCACACAGCCCCCCAGCAACGAGGCGCGGACACCCCAACACCACACAGUCCCCCAGUAACGAGGCGCGGACACCCGGACACUGCACAGUCCCCGCAGUAACGAGGCACGGACACCCCAACACCACACAGUCCCCCAGUAACGAGGCGCGGACACCCCAACACCACACAGCCCCCCAGUAACGAGGCGCGGACACCCCAACACCACACAGCCCCCCAGUAACGAGGCGCGGACACCCAACACCACACAGUCCCCCAGUAACGAGGCGCAGACACCCCAACACCACACAGUCCCCCAGUAACGAGGCGCGGACACCCCAACACCACACAGCCCCCCAGUAAUGAGGCGCGGACACCCCAACACCACACAGUCCCCCAGCAACGAGGCGCGGACACCCCAACACCACACAGUCCCCGAGCAACGAGGCGCGGACACCCAACACCACACAGUCCACCAGCAACGAGGCACGGACACCCAACACCACACAGUCCCCCAGUAACGAGGCGCGGACACCCCAACACCACACAGUCCCCCAGUAACGAGGCGCCGACACCCCAACAACACACAGUCCCGCAGCAACGAGGCGCGGACACCCGAACUCCACACAGUCCCCCAGUAACGAGGCGCGGACACCCGAACACCACACAGUCCCCCAGCAACGAGGCGCGGACACCCCAACACCACACAGUCCCCCAGUAACGAGGCGCGGACACCCCAACACCACACAGUCCCCCAGUAACGAGGCGCCGACACCCAACACCACACAGUCCCCCAGUAACGAGGCGCAGACACCCCAACACCACACAGUCCCCCAGUAACGAGGUGCAGACACCCCAACACCACACAGUCCCCCAGUAACGAGGCGCGGACACCCCAACACCACACAGUCCCCCAGUAACGAGGCGCGGACACCCAACACCACACAGUCCCCCAGUAACGAGGCGCGGACACCCCAACACCACACAGUCCCCCAGUAACGAGGCGCGGACACCCAACACCACACAGUCCCCCAGUAACGAGGCGCCGACACCCCAACACCACACAGUCCCGCAGCAACGAGGCGCGGACACCCCAACACCACACAGUCCCGCAGCAACGAGGCGCGGACACCCCAACUCCACACAGUCCCCCAGUAACGAGGCGCGGACACCCAACACCACACAGUCCCCCAGUAACGAGGCGCGGACACCCAACACCACACAGUCCCCCAGUAACGAGGUGCAGACACCCCAACACCACACAGUCCCCCAGUAACGAGGCGCGGACACCCCAACACCACACAGUCCCCCAGAAACGAGGCGCGGACACCCCAACACCACACAGUCCCCCAGUAACGAGGCGCGGACACCCAACACCACAGUCCCGCAGGCCCCUGUGGGUCACGGUGCAGGUGGAUCACAGCUGUAGCACCCCCAAGGUGGCCCAGGCACACGGCAGCUCACAGUGACACCCUAGCACCACGCACACUAGAAGAUCCAGAUGCUGUGAUGAGGAGAGGGUUGGACAGGAUGGGAAGUUCCAGAUUCUCCCUCCACCCAGAUUCCAAGAGGCCCAAAGGCUCAGGACAAGGAUCCUGAACUGUGACCGUGAGCUGGACAGGCGGUGUCUGUGGUGCUCUCCAGCCGGGUUCUUCUAAAGCCUUUAUGACCUGGUGCCUUGUGCCCAGGUCUGCACGUGUUCAAAGAGGAAUACAGACCGCGCUGAAAGGGAAUUGGAGGUAUUGUAUGCAUCUCUUCUCACACUGCUAAUAAAGACAUACCCCAGACUGGGCAAUUUAUAAAGGAAAGAGGUUUAACUGACUCAGUUCCACGUGGCUGGGGAGGCCUCGCAGUCAUGGCAGAAGGCGAAUGAGGAGCAAAGUCAUGUCUUACAUGGUGGCAGGCAAGAGAGUGUGUGCAGGGGAACUCCCUUUUAAAAAACCAUCAGAUCUCAUAAGACUUAGUCACCAUCAUGAAAACAGCACAGGAAAGACCCACCCCAUGAUUCAGUCACCUCCUACUGGGUCCCUCUCAUGACACAUGAGGAUUAUGGGAGCUGCCAGGCAAAACGAGAUUUCGG
rnacentral:lncRNA from 1 species